AUGUUAUUCAAUACAGGCCAACUGUACAUUUAUCCAUGUUAUUCAAUACCUGCCAACUGUACAUUUAUCCAUGCUAUUCAAUACAGGCCAACUGUACAUUUAUCCAUGUUAUUCAAUACAGGCCAACUGUACAUUUAUCCAUCCUAUCCAAUACCUGCCAACUGUACAUUUAUCCAUGUUAUUCAAUACAGGCCAACUGUACAUUUAUCCUUUCUAUUCAAUACAGGCCAACUGUACAUUUAUCCAUGCUAUUCAAUACAGGCCAACUGUACAUUUAUCCUUUCUAUUCAAUACAGGCCAACUGUACAUUUAUCCUUUCUACUCAAUACAGGCCAACUGUAUGUUUAUACUUGCUAUUCAAUACAGGCCAACUGUACAUUUCUCCAUGCUAUUCAAUACAGGCCAACUGUACAUUUAUCCUUUCAAUUCAAUACAGGCCAACUGUACAUUUAUCCUUUCUAUUCAAUACAGGCCAACUGUACAUUUAUCCUUUCUAUUCAAUACAGGCCAACUGUACGUUUAUCCUUUCUAUUCAAUACAGGCCAACUGUAUGUUUAUCCAUGCUAUUCAAUACAGGCCAACUGUACAUUUAUCCUUUCUAUUCAAUACAGGCCAACUGUACGUUUAUCCUUUCUAUUCAAUACAGGCCAACUGUAUGUUUAUCCAUGCUAUUCAAUACAGGCCAACUGUACGUUUAUCCAUGUUAUUCAAUAUAGGCCAACUGUACGUUUAUCCAUCCUAUUCAAUACCUGCCAACUGUACGUUUAUCCAUGUUAUUCAAUACAGGCCAACUGUACGUUUAUCCAUGUUAUUCAAUACAGGCCAACUGUACGUUUAUCCAUCCUAUUCAAUACCUGCCAACUGUAUGUUUAUCCAUGCUAUUCUAUACAGGCCAACUGUAUGUUUAUCCAUGUUAUUCAAUACAGGCCAACUUUACGUUUAUCCAUGUUAUUCAAUACAGGCCAACUGUGCUAUUCAAUACAGGCCAACUGUACGUUUAUCCAUGCUAUUCAAUACAGGCCAACUGUACGUUUAUCCAUCCUAUUCAAUACCUGCCAACUGUACAUUUAUCCUUUCUAUUCAAUACAGGCCAACUGUACGUUUAUCCUUUCUAUUCAAUACAGGCCAACUGUACAUUUAUCCAUGCUAUUCAAUACAGGCCAACUGUACAUUUAUCCAUGCUAUUCAAUACAGGCCAACUGUACUUUUAUCCAUCCUAUUCAAUACCUGCCAACUGUACAUUUAUCCAUGUUAUUCAAUACAGGCCAACUGUACGUUUAUCCAUGUUAUUCAAUACAGGCCAACUGUACGUUUAUCCAUCCUAUUCAAUACCUGCCAACUGUACAUUUAUCCAUCCUAUUCAAUACAGGCCAACUGUACAUUUAUCCAUCCUAUUCAAUACCUGCCAACUGUACAUUUAUCCAUGCUAUUCAAUACAGGCCAACUGUACAUUUAUCCAUGCUAUUCAAUACAGGCCAACUGUACGUUUAUCCAUCCUAUUCAAUACCUGCCAACUGUACAUUUAUCCAUGUUAUUCAAUACAGGCCAACUGUACGUUUAUCCAUCCUAUUCAAUACCUGCCAACUGUACAUUUAUCCAUCCUAUUCAAUACAGCCCAACUGUACUUUUAUCCAUGCUAUUCAAUACAGGCCAACUGUACGUUUAUCCAUGCUAUUCAAUACAGGCCAACUGUACAUUUAUCCAUGCUAUUCAAUACAGGCCAACUGUACGUUUAUCCAUCCUAUUCAAUACCUGCCAACUGUACAUUUAUCCAUGUUAUUCAAUACAGGCCAACUGUACGUUUAUCCAUGUUAUUCAAUACAGGCCAACUGUACGUUUAUCCAUGUUAUUCAAUACAGGCCAACUGUACGUUUAUCCAUCCUAUUCAAUACCUGCCAACUGUACAUUUAUCCAUCCUAUUCAAUACAGGCCAACUGUACGUUUAUCCAUUCUAUUCAAUACAGGCCAACUGUACAUUUAUCCAUGCUAUUCAAUACAGGCCAACUGUACGUUUAUCCAUGCUAUUCAAUACAUGCCAACUGUACAUUUAUCCAUGCUAUUCAAUACAGGCCAACUGUACGUUUAUCCAUGUUAUUCAAUACAGGCCAACUGUACCUUUAUCCAUGUUAUUCAAUACAGGCCAACUGUCCGUUUAUCCAUGUUAUUCAAUACAGGCCAACUGUACGUUUUUCCAUGCUAUUCAAUACAGGCCAGAAUGGAUGGAGUCUUAUAAUCAUGCCCAGUCUAUUCCUUAUUGCAUCAUCCAUCUUAUAUUGUUGCACUGACCAACACACACACACACACACACGUGGGUCCUUGGUCUUCCCGUAG
rnacentral:lncRNA from 8 species